rnacentral:rRNA from 1 species
UGGGGAAUUUUGGGACAAAUGGGGGGCAACCCUGACCCAGCAACGCCGUGUGAGGGAAGAAGGGUUUCGGCUCGUAAACCUCUGUCCUAUGGGACGAAGGAAGUGACGGUACCAUAGGAGGAAGCCCCGGCUAACUACGUGCCAGCAGCCGCGGUAAUACGUAGGGGGCGAGCGUUGUCCGGAAUGAUUGGGCAUAAAGGGCGCGUAGGCGGCCUGGUAAGUCCGGAGUGAAAGUCCUGCUUUUAAGGUGGGAAUUGCUUUGGAUACUGCUGGGCUUGAGUGCAGGAGAGGAAAGCGGAAUUACCGGUGUAGCGGUGAAAUGCGUAGAGAUCGGUAGGAACACCAGUGGCGAAGGCGGCUUUCUGGACUGAAACUGACGCUGAGGCGCGAAAGCGUGGGGGA